AUACUAUGGUGCGGACAUAUAACUAGCAUCCCUUUGAAACAUUCCCAUGUUUCAUGUAGUGUCUCCAUUGGUCUCUAUUUGAAACUCAAAAUUUCAUCAAUUUGUUG
rfam:Nicotiana sylvestris Nsyl_contig98856, whole genome shotgun sequence.